rnacentral:rRNA from 1 species
CGAAAGCCUGACGGAGCAAGACCGCGUGAGGGAGGAAUGCCUUAGGGUUGUAAACCCCUUUUAUCUGGGAAGAACAAAAUGACGGUACCAAAGGAAUCAGCCUCGGCUAACUCCGUGCCAGCAGCCGCGGUAAUACGGAGGAGGCAAGCGUUAUCCGGAAUGAUUGGGCGUAAAGAGUCCGUAGGUGGUUCAUCAAGUCUGCUGUUAAAGCGUGCAGCUCAACUGCAUAUAGGCAGUGGAAACUGUUGAACUAGAGUAUGGUAGGGGUAGGGGGAAUUCCCAGUGUAGCGGUGAAAUGCGUAGAGAUUGGGAAGAACACCGGUGGCGAAAGCGCCCUACUGGGCCAUAACUGACACUGAGGGACGAAAGCUAGGGGAGCG